rnacentral:misc_RNA from 1 species
GGGAUUUGUGAUGUUCAGUAACUGGUUUAACACUAAUUGUAUGCAAAUUGCAUAGUGGAGCUGGAUUGGUUCAAAUGAUAUUUAAAAACUCUCCAGUUUUUCUAAUUUUAAGUAUUCUUAACUGAUGAGGUCAAGCAAAAGAAUUGAAGGAGCUCUGUCCUUCACUGGGUGUCUGCAUUGGCAUAGAGGUAGAGUACUAAAAUUGUACUGCAGUCAAUCCCAUUGUUGCUACUCUUUCAUACUGUACGGCACUUGAAGGAUUUAUUGCCACAUUAGAGAGGUCAAACUUAGUUUAUUUUGUCCAUUUAAACAAGAAAAUCUCAAGAGUGUUGGAGCAAAUUUCAAGUUCAUAGCUGUCUUUCAUUGAACUUUUAAUUUCUUGGGUUGUGGUUGAGGCUUCUCCAAUAUUAUAUCCUUGAAACAAUUUUUUCCCUGCUAUAAGGACAGAACAAGUGCUAAUGGAGAGAAUAAAAU